rnacentral:tRNA from 1 species
UGAAGUAGCUUAGUGGUAGAGCACUCCCUUGGUAAGGGAGAGGUCGCGGGUCCAAUUCCCGCUUUCAGC